UACGGAGGAUCCGAGCGUUAUCCGGAUUUAUUGGGUUUAAAGGGUGCGUAGGCGGCCUGUUAAGUCAGGGGUGAAAGACGGGUAGCUUAACUAUCGCAGUGCCUUUGAUACUGACGGGCUUGAAUGUACUUGAGGUAGGCGGAAUGUGACAAGUAGCGGUGAAAUGCAUAGAUAUGUCACAGAACACCAAUUGCGAAGGCAGCUUACUAAAGUAUGAUUGACGCUGAGGCGCGAAAGCGUGGGGAGCGAACAGG
rnacentral:rRNA from 1 species